UUCCCCCAGUAGCGGCGAGCGGACGGGGAGCAGCCCAGAGCCUGAAUCAGUGUGUGUGUUAGUGGAAGCGUCUGGAAAGGCGCGCGAUACAGGGUGACAGCCCCGUACACAAAAAUGCACAUAUUGUGAGCUCGAUGAGUAGGGCGGGACACGUGGUAUCCUGUCUGAAUAUGGGGGGACCAUCCUCCAAGGCUAAAUACUCCUGACUGACCGAUAGUGAACCAGUACCGUGAGGGAAAGGCGAAAAGAACCCCGGCGAGGGGAGUGAAAAAGAACCUGAAACCGUGUACGUACAAGCAGUGGGAGCACGCUUAGGCGUGUGACUGCG
rnacentral:rRNA from 1 species